ensembl:miRNA
ACAGCGUCCUGCAGGCACAGACGGCCCUGGCUUCUGCCUCUUUCUUUGUGGAAGCCACUCUGUCAGGCCUGGGACGGAGGGGCA